rnacentral:rRNA from 1 species
GGGUUGUGAGGUUAAGCGACUAAGCGUACACGGUGGAUGCCCUGGCAGUCAGAGGCGAUGAAGGGCGUGCUAAUCUGCGAUAAGCGCCGGUAAGGUGAUAUGAACCGUUAUAACCGGCGAUACCCGAAUGGGGAAACCCAGUGUGACUCGUCACACUAUCAUUAACUGAAUCCAUAGGUUAAUGAGGCGAACCGGGGGAACUGAAACAUCUAAGUACCCCGAGGAAAAGAAAUCAACCGAGAUUCCCCCAGUAGCGGCGAGCGAACGGGGAGGAGCCCAGAGCCUGAAUCAGCAUGUGUGUUAGUGGAAGCGUCUGGAAAGGCGCGCGAUACAGGGUGACAGCCCCGUACACAAAAGCGCAUGUGCUGUGAGCUCGAUGAGUAGGGCGGGACACGUGGUAUCCUGUCUGAAUAUGGGGGGACCAUCCUCCAAGGCUAAAUACUCCUGACUGACCGAUAGUGAACCAGUACCGUGAGGGAAAGGCGAAAAGAACCCCGGCGAGGGGAGUGAAAAAGAACCUGAAACCGUGUACGUACAAGCAGUGGGAGCNNGGGCGUUAAGUUGCAGGGUAUAGACCCGAAACCCGGUGAUCUAGCCAUGGGCAGGUUGAAGGUUGGGUAACACUAACUGGAGGACCGAACCGACUAAUGUUGAAAAAUUAGCGGAUGACCUGUGGCUGGGGGUGAAAGGCCAAUCAAACCGGGAGAUAGCUGGUUCUCCCCGAAAGCUAUUUAGGUAGCGCCUCGUGAAUUCAUCUCCGGGGGUAGAGCACUGUUUCGGCUAGGGGGCCAUCCCGGCUUACCAACCCGAUGCAAACUGCGAAUACCGGAGAAUGUUAUCACGGGAGACACACGGCGGGUGCUAACGUCCGUCGUGAAGAGGGAAACAACCCAGACCGCCAGCUAAGGUCCCAAAGUCAUGGUUAAGUGGGAAACGAUGUGGGAAGGCCCAGACAGCCAGGAUGUUGGCUUAGAAGCAGCCAUCAUUUAAAGAAAGCGUAAUAGCUCACUGGUCGAGUCGGCCUGCGCGGAAGAUGUAACGGGGCUAAACCAUGCACCGAAGCUGCGGCAGCGNNGCUGGAGGUAUCAGAAGUGCGAAUGCUGACAUAAGUAACGAUAAAGCGGGUGAAAAGCCCGCUCGCCGGAAGACCAAGGGUUCCUGUCCAACGUUAAUCGGGGCAGGGUGAGUCGACCCCUAAGGCGAGGCCGAAAGGCGUAGUCGAUGGGAAACGGGUUAAUAUUCCCGUACUUGGUGUUACUGCGAAGGGGGGACGGAGAAGGCUAUGUUGGCCGGGCGACGGUUGUCCCGGUUUAAGCGUGUAGGUGUGUGUUCCAGGUAAAUCCGGUUCACUUUAACACUGAGGCGUGACGACGAGGCACUACGGUGCUGAAGCAACAAAUGCCCUGCUUCCAGGAAAAGCCUCUAAGCAUCAGGUAACAUCAAAUCGUACCCCAAACCGACACAGGUGGUCAGGUAGAGAAUACCAAGGCGCUUGAGAGAACUCGGGUGAAGGAACUAGGCAAAAUGGUGCCGUAACUUCGGGAGAAGGCACGCUGACACGUAGGUGAAGUGAUUUACUCAUGGAGCUGAAGUCAGUCGAAGAUACCAGCUGGCUGCAACUGUUUAUUAAAAACACAGCACUGUGCAAACACGAAAGUGGACGUAUACGGUGUGACGCCUGCCCGGUGCCGGAAGGUUAAUUGAUGGGGUCAGCGCAAGCGAAGCUCCUGAUCGAAGCCCCGGUAAACGGCGGCCGUAACUAUAACGGUCCUAAGGUAGCGAAAUUCCUUGUCGGGUAAGUUCCGACCUGCACGAAUGGCGUAAUGAUGGCCAGGCUGUCUCCACCCGAGACUCAGUGAAAUUGAACUCGCUGUGAAGAUGCAGUGUACCCGCGGCAAGACGGAAAGACCCCGUGAACCUUUACUAUAGCUUGACACUGAACAUUGAGCCUUGAUGUGUAGGAUAGGUGGGAGGCUUUGAAGUGUGGACGCCAGUCUGCAUGGAGCCGACCUUGAAAUACCACCCUUUAAUGUUUGAUGUUCUAACGUGGACCCGUUACCCGGGUUGCGGACAGUGUCUGGUGGGUAGUUUGACUGGGGCGGUCUCCUCCUAAAGAGUAACGGAGGAGCACGAAGGUUGGCUAAUCCUGGUCGGACAUCAGGAGGUUAGUGCAAUGGCAUAAGCCAGCUUGACUGCGAGCGUGACGGCGCGAGCAGGUGCGAAAGCAGGUCAUAGUGAUCCGGUGGUUCUGAAUGGAAGGGCCAUCGCUCAACGGAUAAAAGGUACUCCGGGGAUAACAGGCUGAUACCGCCCAAGAGUUCAUAUCGACGGCGGUGUUUGGCACCUCGAUGUCGGCUCAUCACAUCCUGGGGCUGAAGUAGGUCCCAAGGGUAUGGCUGUUCGCCAUUUAAAGUGGUACGCGAGCUGGGUUUAGAACGUCGUGAGACAGUUCGGUCCCUAUCUGCCGUGGGCGCUGGAGAACUGAGGGGGGCUGCUCCUAGUACGAGAGGACCGGAGUGGACGCAUCACUGGUGUUCGGGUUGUCAUGCCAAUGGCACUGCCCGGUAGCUAAAUGCGGAAGAGAUAAGUGCUGAAAGCAUCUAAGCACGAAACUUGCCCCGAGAUGAGUUCUCCCUGAGACUUA